ACCUUCCCCCCCCCCCUCUUUCCCACCCUCCUGCCUUCACUCCUCUCAAACCCUAGUUCUUCGCUUCACUGAAAACAGGUAAAAAUGUACCAAAUUAGCUAUGUUGCGAAAUAAUCUGAAGCUCAAAUUGAAGCAAUUUGUUUUUGAAUUUCGAUUUCAAGCAGAGGAGCGACUUUCUUUAACUAAUUGGAUUUUUUCCGGCGCCUCAAACACCGCGUACUAUAAUUUUUCUGUACUUUCACGGAGUUUCUUAAGGUCAAUAUGGGUUUUGACAAUGAUUGCAUUUUAAAUAUUCAAUCACUUGCUGGAGAAUAUUUCUGUCCUGUAUGUCACCUUCUUGUGUACCCAAACGAGGCUUUGCAAGCGCAAUGCACUCACCUUUACUGCAAACCUUGUCUGACUUAUGUUGUUAGCUCCACACAUGCCUGCCCCUAUGAUGGAUACAGGGUGACUGAAGCCGAUUGCAAGCCACUUUUGGAGUCAAACAAAGCAUUGGCAGACACAAUCGGAAAAAUACAAGUUCAUUGCCUCUAUUAUAGGACUGGAUGUACAUGGCAAGGUCCUUUUACCGACUGCAUAACUCAUUGCUCUACAUGUUCAUUCGGGGAGUCUCCAGUUCUAUGCAACAGAUGUGGAGUUCAAAUUGUGCACCGCCAGGUGCAGGAACACGCACAAAGCUGUCCUGGUGUGCAAUCUCAGGUGCAACAACCGGGCACUGUCCAGGACAGCACAUCCACAGGAGCCGUUGCUGCUGUAGAGCAAAGCCAGACUGCAGCUCAGAAUGGGUUACCUGUUUCUCAAGCACAGACAUCACAAGCUUCUGCCCCGCUUGUAUCCAGCCAAGAUAUCCAACUAGCCAGUUCAGUUGGGCAACCACAAGCUGCACAAGUUGCCAUGCCAAAUGCAGAACAGUGGUAUCAGCAACAGCAACAGCAACAGCAACAGUACCAGCAGCAAUACCAACAGUACUAUCAGCAGUAUCCUGGAUAUGAUCCUUACCAACAGAACUAUCAAUAUUACUAUCAAUAUCAACAAGGAGCUCAACAGUAUCCACAACAGCCCAUGCAAGGUUACCCUCCUCAGGUUUCUGGUCAAGCUCAGACUCAACCCCAACAACAGGUCCAGCCUCAUGCUCAGCCCCAGGCACAACAGCAGCCCCAAGCUCAGACCCAGCCACAACAGCAGCCUCAACCUCAACCCCAGCCACAGCAGCAGCCACAGCAGCAGCCCCAAGCUCCACCCCGAACUGCACCGCCUCCACCACAAACAACUGCACAACCAGCAUCGAAUGCACAGUCCCAAGUCCAGUCAGUGGGUCAAGCGCAACCUCAAAUUCAGACUCAGGGUCAAGCACCUCCAUCUCAUGCCCUUCCAUAUAAUCAAUCUCAGCCAUUACCCCAGGCUCAACCCUACACUCAGCCACAGCCUAUUUCUCAACAGCAGACACAGCUGCCUCAGUACCAACAAACUAAUCCUUAUGCCCAAUCUUAUCCACCAUCACAAACCCAAACCCAGCAUUACCCCUAUCCACAUCCUCAAUCACACCCCCAGCCCCAGCCCCAGCCCCAUUCCCAACCGAUUAUGCAGGCGCCUGUUCACCCACCUUCCCAACAGAACCAGCUUAUGAAUCCCAAUGCCCAGCCUCAGACUCAGAAUUCUGUAACUGGUUACCAAUCGUACCCGCAGCCACAGCCUCAUCCGCAAGCACAAGUGGGAGCUGCGCAUCCAAUGCAUUCUUCGGGUGUCCAGCCGCAGCCUCAGUACCCUGCACAAGCACAGGGGAAAUAUCCUUCACAACCUUCUCAGAUGUAUCCUCCUCAACCUUAUUCGAACGUGGCAAAUCAACAACAGCAUAUGUCGUCUGCACAAGGUCAGGCUCCGCCGAGUGGGCCUUCUGCACAACAGCUCCCUGUUUAUCCUCAUUCCCAGCAACCUGGGUAUCCAUUUCAGCAUCGUCCCGGUGUUCAGGCUGCACAGCAAGCUGCACCACAGCAGUAUGGACAACAGCAAUCGUUCCCUGGGCACGGUCCAUAUACACAGCCACAGCCACCUAUGACAGCUCAAUUACAUGCCCAGGGACCCCCUCAAACGACACAGCAACCUCAGCAGAAUUAUGCACCAGGGUAUGGUGCUCAGCCUAAUACUGCUCAAAAUUAUGCAGCUAGACCAGUUGCAAUGCAAGGAGCUGGAUCCCAGCCAUAUGCCCAAGCUGCGGGACCUGCUGCUAUUGGUCAGGUUAGGCCUCCACAGCUAAAUCAGACUUACCCCAUGAGAACUGACAACCAGUUAUCUGCUACUUCUGAACAGCAGGCUGGUCAUCCCCAACAAUCUUCAAGAGCAACAGGCGGUGGGAAGCCUCGUGAUCAAAUUGAAUCUAACAAGGAGUCUGUUGUAGGGACUCAGGUGAAUGAAGUUAAAAUAAAAUCAGAAAAUUCCAUGGACGGUAAUGUGAACGGAAAUGAAAGCAAACUACCUGGUGCAGGGUCCAAGCAAUUAGAAAGUGAUGUUCAAGAAUUCCAACAAAGGAUAAAGGAAGAUCCUUCAGAGGGUGCAUCAAAAGCAUCACAUGUUAAUAUCACUGCUAAAAAUGUUGCUGAGAAUCAUAAAGAUGCUCGAAAGAAGGCUGAAGUACAGGAUUUGAAGCAUGCAUCUAAUUCACAUUUAGUCCCACAAGUUCAUGGUGCAAAUUCAUUUCCUUCUGUUGACCAGGGAAGAAAUCAGCUGCAGCCAAUGCACUACGGGACUUCAGCUCAACACAGACCUGGCAAUGUGUCUGCGCCGCAAUCAACACCUCAACCAUUAAACUCUCAGCAGCCUGGAUUGGGUCACCCUCAUGGUCAAUUUAGGCCACAAGGACCUGGACAAGCUCCCCAAAGACCGCCUUUCAGUGCAGCCGAAAAUUCCCAGGCAUCUAUUCCUAAGCAUCCCCAUGGUCCUAUUCCUCCCGAAAAUGCAUCUGGAGGAAAUUUAGGCCCUGGCUCAUCAGGAUCUUUUGCUAGACCGGGUAAUAUGGGUUAUCAUCAAGGAAAUAUGCCACCUUAUCAAGCUGGACAACCUCAUAAUCCUUCAGGGGAGCCUUCUGUUGGGCCCUCAUUUGCUGGUCCGAGGCCUGGUGCAUUUGAUUCUCAUGUUGGUAUAGGCGGGAGAGAACGCACUGAUGCUGAGAAGCGUCCUCCACAUCCAAUGGAGAGUGAAAAGUUUCAGGGUCACAGGCCUGAUUAUUUUGAUGGUAGAAAACCAGAAGCACUUUCUCAUGCCCAGCCUGGUAUACAUCCCGGUAUUAUGAAAUUCGGUGGUCCUUCAGCUCAUGAUUCUGCUUCCGCUCCUGGUUCAAGGGAUGAAAGGGUUAAGCUAUUUCCCGAGGAGCGUUUGAAACCCUUUCCUCACAGGGACUUUGAAGAAGAUUUGAGGAAAUUCCCAAGACCCUCUCAUUUUGAAACCGGGCCUUCAUCAAGAUUUGGUUCUCAUUUUUCAUCAUCUGGGCCACUUGAUCAUGGUCCUCAUAUGUUUGGUGGAGAAGGAAUGCCGAGGCCCUUUGACAAGGCGCCACAUGGAUUUGACCAUGAUUCAGGACUGAAAAUGGAUUCUGGUCCUUCAAGAUUUUUGCCACCAUUCCAUGCAAACGAUGCUGGUGAAAGGAGCCGACCUGCAGGUUUUCCUGAUGAUAACAUGGGCAGAGGGGAUUUUGGGCACCGUCCUGAUUUUCCUGGACCGGCUCCUGGUCCUGGAUUUGGCCGGCCCAGAUUGGAUGGUUUGCCGCCUAGAAGUCCGGGUAGGGACUUUCCAGGUUUUUCUUCUCGUCCGUUUGGUGCCUAUGCGGAAGAUGGUGGAAAUGAGUCACGGCCUUUUGAAGGUUCCAGACCCUACAAUUUUCCUGCGGAAUCAUUUGGGAAAUCAAUCCGUGACAACAGGUUUCCAGUUCCACCUAACCAUUUGCAAAGAGGUGAGCUUGAUGUUCCUGGAAAUUUGCACGCGGGUGAACAUUUCAUCGGGGGCCCUCGUAAUCAAGAUACACUGCCUCCUUUUUUACGAAGAGAACAUAUGGGUCCUCGGAAUUCGCAUACUGGUGAAGUGACUGCUUUUGGUCCUUCAGGUGGUCAUCCACGGAUGGGAGAACCUCCCCUGACAGGAAAUUUUCCACAGCAUCUACCUUUUGGUGAAUCCUUUGGAGGUGAGAAGCCAGGGCACCCUCUGGUAGGAGAGCAUGGAUUCAGGGGUAGCUCUGGUUUUCAGCGAUAUGGACGUGAAGGUGGAUUUUUUCCAGAGGAGAUGGAGCCUUUUGAUAACCCAAGAAUGCGUGGACCUAGAAGCAUUAUGUGUCGCAUUUGUAAAGUUGAGUGUGGAACCGUGGAAGGUUUGGACUUGCAUUCACAAUCAAGAGAACAUCAAAGAAAGGCUAGGGAAAUGGUCUUAGGCAUCAAACAGUCCAAUAAAAAGAAGCAAAAGUUAUCGAAAGAUCAAGCUUCAGUUGAAGGAAGAAAUGGAGGGAGGCCAAAGAAUUCCAAUUUUCAAGGCCGUGGAAAUAAGCGUUAAAGGCUUGAUGGUUGUAUUGGCUGACAAGCAAUCCCGUGGUUUUGUAGCUGACAGGCUGCGUUUGUUCCUUCAGUAUUUUGCAUUUAGUGAAAUAGGUGAUGCAGCUUUCUGUAUCUCUUUCUUUUGCUGGUUGGUUUAUGCCAGUUUUGUCAUUUCAGGUUGCUGCUAUGUUAGGGGAGAUGGUAUUUUGGGACUGAAGUAUAUCAGUGGCAAUAUUUUCACUGAACCCGUCUUUUUCGGCGAUGCUGACAAGGAAAAGGCUGAAAAGCAGAAUGGUUUACCUUGCAGUCGUCUUUAGAGUGUGCGGGGAUGAGCUUACGACACAUAAAUGGAAGAGAAAGCGGAAGAGGUGAUUUAAGAUACAAGCAGACAUCAGUACUAUCCUGUGUCGGGAUUCGUAUGAACACUAGGGAUUCUUUGAUCGUGAUUAGGCUAUAAUCUUACAAUAAGUAUGCUUGAGAAAAGGCAGUUGUCUCCAUAUUGGUACUUGCUCAGUUGCUUGGCUAGACAAUGUGGUGCGGGAUUGUGUUUCAUUCUGUUAAAGAUUUGUGUAUUCGUGUCUGGCUUGAAGCACCAAUAAACUGAUGCAGACGCAGCUUUGGAACCCCCCUUUGUCCCUAAGUGCGCUAAGAGAAUCUUAUGAGGACCCUUGAAGUGUGUCGUAUUUUGUAUCUUUGUCACCUGACAAAAUACAGAAGGUAUGUCCGCAUGUGUGCUUCAUAAGGUGCUUUAUUGUCAUUUUCCAUCUUCUCUGGAAGUAAUGUUGUCCUAGGUGUCUAGGCCUUAUAUUACUUUGGGCAGCCAUGGAAGAUAAAAUGGAUUUUUUUUAUUAGCUCACUGUUUCACCAUGGCGUACUAUCACGUCUUCUGAUUUAUCAGCUUAUUUCAGUAAGGGUGUUUGACUUCAUGGUUAUUGAUGAAUGUAACUGUAUACAGGGUAGCUACAAGUGACUUGAUCCUAGUGAAUUGAUUUGACAUCAGUUCCUAAUUUAGAGGCUGAAGAUUUUUAUUUAUCUAUUUCUCUGUUUUGGAAUUGAAAUACAAUUUGUUCAUUUUUUUGUCUUGAGCUAGAUCAGAAUUAGAAAUGCUGUUGGACCUUAUAUGCUACCUGUUUUACUGGUUGUUUCAUCUGUCUGUGCUCAAAAUUAGAAAUAGAAAACAAAAAAAAGAAGCAAAAGAAUUCCUUUCAGCUUUGUCUCCUUAACAGUUGGCUUCUUUAAAGCAUUUUUUUCCUGGUGAGAAUUCCCUGAAUGUCUGAGAUUCUUCCUAGAUACCCUCUGGUCUUGUGGCGAUUCUUGCUGUCUUGAUCUUUGUUUUUACUACUUGUCAAAGUUCAUACUAUUAUGAGCAUUGAACGAGUAUCUUGUGAGUUCUCAUACUCUCCAGGUCUCAGUUUUCUGACUCUCAGUAGUUGAAGACUAUGACUUGUCAUGGUAGAAAAGUAAUUUCUCUUUUAAGGGAUUGAACUGUUGAAGGAGGCAUUUAGACCACUGAACUGUUUCCCUAUAAAAUAAGUACGUAUUGUGGAUUUUUAGGAAUACAGGUACGUGCCUUGAUGUUAAGGAAGUAGAGAGCACAAACCAGUUUGUUGGGGAUGUGGUUCCUUAAAGUUUCUUUCGUUCUUGUUGGUAAGUAGGAAUUGCUUUUUCUAAGGCAGCUCUCCCAGACUCUUUAGAUGAUUUGAGCAUUUGCUUGCUGAAAAUCCCGUCAUUUGUCCUAAAUGUUUGGUGAUGCUAACACUAACAGUUAUUUUGCAGUGUGAAUGUGUAUUAUUUUUUUUUGCUAGGUGUAGACAACUGAAACCCAGCACUUCUUUGUGGAGAGACUUCUUGGUUUUCUUGAUCACCAGCACUUUUAAUCUUAUGUGCAAGUUGCAAUAAUACUCUCAUUUGCUCGGCCUCUUUUUAUUUCUUUUACUGCUCUCUAUGCUGUUUGUAUACAUUAGAAAGUGUACCGAAGGCUGUGGAAAUUUGGUGGUAAACUUUAUUUUUUUCCUUCUUUGGUUGAUGUAUUCUCUUAUUUUUAGCUGAUGGUUGUAUUAGCAGUUCCAGGCAAGGUUUGUG